rnacentral:rRNA from 1 species
AUACGUAGGUGACAAGCGUUAUCCGGAUUUACUGGGUGUAAAGGGCGUGUAGGCGGUUUAGCAAGUCAGAAGUGAAAUUCCCGGGCUUAACUUGGGCGCUGCUUCUGAAACUGCUUUACUUGAGUGCUGGAGAGGAUAGUGGAAUUCCUAGUGUAGCGGUAAAAUGCGCAGAUAUUAGGAGGAACCCCGGUGGCGAAGGCGGAUAUCUGGACAGUACCUGACGCUGAGGCGCGAAAGCACGGGGAGCAAACAGGAUGAGAUACCCUGGUAGUCCGUGCCGUAAACGAUGAAUACUAGGUAUAGGGAGUAUCGACUCCCUCUGUGCCGCAGUUAACAAAUUAAGUAUUCCACCUGGGGAGUACGGCCGCAAGGUUGAAACUUAAAGGAAUUGACGGGG